rnacentral:rRNA from 1 species
GAUGAACGCUGACAGAAUGCUUAACACAUGCAAGUCAACUUGAACUUCGGUUUGGGUGGCGGACGGGUGAGUAACGCGUAAAGAACUUGCCUCACAGAUAGGGACAACAUUUGGAAACGAAUGCUAAUACCUGAUAUUAUGAUUAUAUGGCAUCGUAUAAUUAUGAAAGCUAUAUGCGCUGUGAGAGAGCUUUGCGUCCCAUUAGCUAGUUGGAUGGGUAACGGCUCACCAAGGCGAUGAUGGGUAGCCGGCCUGAGAGGGUGAUCGGCCACAAGGGGACUGAGACACGGCCCUUACUCCUACGGGAGGCAGCAGUGGGGAAUAUUGGACAAUGGACCAAGAGUCUGAUCCAGCAAUUCUGUGUGCACGAUGAAGUUUUUCGGAAUGUAAAGUGCUUUCAGUUGGGAAGAAAAAAAUGACGGUACCAACAGAAGAAGUGACGGCUAAAUACGUG